GAUGAACGCUGGCGGCGUGCCUAAUACAUGCAAGUCGAGCGAACAGACGAGGAGCUUGCUCCUCUGACGUUAGAGGCGGACGGGUGAGUAACACGUGGAUAACCUACCUAUAAGACUGGGAUAACUUCGGGAAACCGGAGCUAAUACCGGAUAAUAUAUUGAACCGCAUGGUUCAAUAGUGAACGACGGUUUUGCUGUCCCCUAUCGAUGGGUCCGCGCCUCAUUAGCUGGUUGGUAAGGUAACGGCUUACGAAGGCAACGAUGCGUAACCGACGUGAGAGGGGGAUCGGCCACACGGGGAUUGGAACGCGGGCCAGACUCCGACGGGAGGCAGCAGUAGGGAAUGUACGGCAAUGGGCGGAAGCCUGACGGAGCAACGCCGCGUGAGUGAUGAAGGUCUUCGGAUCGUAAAACUCUGUUAUGAGGGAAGAACAAAUGUGUAAGUAACUAUACACGUCUUGACGGUACCUAAUCAGAAAGCCACGGCUAACUACGUG
rnacentral:rRNA from 1 species